rnacentral:rRNA from 1 species
GUAUAAGAGACAGCAGUCGCCGCGGUAAUCCGUAGGUGGCAAGCGUUGUCCGGAAUUAUUGGGCGUAAAGGGCUCGCAGGCGGUUUCUUAAGUCUGAUGUGAAAGCCCCCGGCUCAACCGGGGAGGGUCAUUGGAAACUGGGAAACUUGAGUGCAGAAGAGGAGAGUGGAAUUCCACGUGUAGCGGUGAAAUGCGUAGAGAUGUGGAGGAACACCAGUGGCGAAGGCGACUCUCUGGUCUGUAACUGACGCUGAGGAGCGAAAGCGUGGGGAGCGAACAGGAUUAGAUACCCCCGUAGUCCCUGUCUCUUAUAC